GUAGUCAUAUGCUUGUCUCAAAGAUUAAGCCAUGCAUGUCUAAGUAUAAGCAAUUAUACCGUGAAACUGCGAAUGGCUCAUUAAAUCAGUUAUCGUUUAUUUGAUAGUACCUUACUACUUGGAUAACCGUGGUAAUUCUAGAGCUAAUACAUGCUGAAAACCCCAACUUCGGGAGGGGUGUAUUUAUUAGAUAAAAAACCAACGCCCUUCGGGGCUUCUUGGUGAUUCAUGAUAACUUUACGGAUCGCAUGGCCUUGCGCCGGCGACGGUUCAUUCAAAUUUCUGCCCUAUCAACUUUCGAUGGUAAGGUAUUGGCUUACCAUGGUUUCAACGGGUAACGGGGAAUUAGGGUUCGAUUCCGGAGAGGGAGCCUGAGAAACGGCUACCACAUCCAAGGAAGGCAGCAGGCGCGCAAAUUACCCAAUCCCGACACGGGGAGGUAGUGACAAUAAAUACUGAUACAGGGCUCUUUUGGGUCUUGUAAUUGGAAUGAGUACAAUUUAAACCUCUUAACGAGGAACAAUUGGAGGGCAAGUCUGGUGCCAGCAGCCGCGGUAAUUCCAGCUCCAAUAGCGUAUAUUAAAGUUGUUGCAGUUAAAAAGCUCGUAGUUGAAACUUGGGUCUGGCUGGCAGGUCCGCCUCACCGCGUGUACUUGUCCGGCCGGGCCUUCCUUCUGGAGAACCUCAUGCCCUUCACUGGGCGUGUUGGGGACCAGGACUUUUACUUUGAAAAAAUUAGAGUGUUCAAAGCAGGCCUUUGCUCGAAUACGUUAGCAUGGAAUAAUAGAAUAGGACGUGCGGUUCUAUUUUGUUGGUUUCUAGGACCGCCGUAAUGAUUAAUAGGGACAGUCGGGGGCAUCAGUAUUCAAUUGUCAGAGGUGAAAUUCUUGGAUUUAUUGAAGACUAACUACUGCGAAAGCAUUUGCCAAGGAUGUUUUCAUUAAUCAGUGAACGAAAGUUAGGGGAUCGAAGACGAUCAGAUACCGUCGUAGUCUUAACCGUAAACUAUGCCGACUAGGGAUCGGGCGAUGUUCUUUUUUUUGACUCGCUCGGCACCUUACGAGAAAUCAAAGUUUUUGGGUUCUGGGGGGAGUAUGGUCGCAAGGCUGAAACUUAAAGAAAUUGACGGAAGGGCACCACCAGGCGUGGAGCCUGCGGCUUAAUUUGACUCAACACGGGGAAACUCACCAGGUCCAGAUGAAAUAAGGAUUGACAGAUUGAGAGCUCUUUCUUGAUUUUUCAGGUGGUGGUGCAUGGCCGUUCUUAGUUGGUGGAGUGAUUUGUCUGCUUAAUUGCGAUAACGAACGAGACCUUAACCUGCUAAAUAGCCAGGCUAGCUUUGGCUGGUCGCCGGCUUCUUAGAGGGACUAUCGGCUCAAGCCGAUGGAAGUUUGAGGCAAUAACAGGUCUGUGAUGCCCUUAUAUGUUCUGGGCCGCACGCGCGCUACACUGACAGAGCCAACGAGUUCUUCACCUUGGCCGGAAGGUCUGGGUAAUCUUGUUAAACUCUGUCGUGCUGGGGAUAGAGCAUUGCAAUUAUUGCUCUUCAACGAGGAAUGCCUAGUAAGCGCGUGUCAUCAGCAUGCGUUGAUUACGUCCCUGCCCUUUGUACACACCGCCCGUCGCUACUACCGAUUGAAUGGCUCAGUGAGGCGUUCGGACUGGCUCGGGGAGGUUGGCAACGACCACCCCGAGCCGGAAAGUUCGUCAAACUCGGUCAUUUAGAGGAAGUAAAAGUCGUAACAAGGUUUCCGUAGGUGAACCUGCGGAAGGAUCAUUAUCAAUUUACAGCGGACUUCGGUCCUGUCUGCACCCUUGUCUUUUGCGUACUAUUUUGUUUCCUUGGUAGGCUUGCCUGCCAAAAGGACCACAUCAACCCUUUUGUAAUUGCAAUCAGCGUCAGAAAAACUAUAAUAGUUACAACUUUCAACAACGGAUCUCUUGGUUCUGGCAUCGAUGAAGAACGCAGCGAAAUGCGAAAAGUAGUGUGAAUUGCAGAAUUCAGUGAAUCAUCGAAUCUUUGAACGCACAUUGCGCCCCUUGGUAUUCCAUGGGGCAUGCCUGUUCGAGCGUCAUUUGUACCUUCAAGCUCUGCUUGGUGUUGGGUGUUUGUCCCCGUUUGCGAGGACUCGCCUUAAAGCAAUUGGCAGCCGGCAUACUAGCCUUGGAGCGCAGCACAUUUUGCGCCUCUUGACUUGAAUGACGGCGUCCAUCAAGCCUACAAUUUUUGCUCUUGACCUCGGAUCAGGUAGGGAUACCCGCUGAACUUAAGCAUAUCAAUAAGCGGAGGAAAAGAAACCAACAGGGAUUGCCCUAGUAACGGCGAGUGAAGCGGCAUCAGCUCAAAUUUGAAAUCUGGCUCUUUCAGAGUCCGAGUUGUAAUUUGCAGAGGGCGCUUUGGCGUUGGCAGCGGUCCAAGUUCCUUGGAACAGGACGUCACAGAGGGUGAGAAUCCCGUACGUGGUCGCUGGCCUUCGCCGUGUAAAGCCCCUUCGACGAGUCGAGUUGUUUGGGAAUGCAGCUCUAAAUGGGAGGUAAAUUUCUUCUAAAGCUAAAUACUGGCCAGAGACCGAUAGCGCACAAGUAGAGUGAUCGAAAGAUGAAAAGCACUUUGGAAAGAGAGUCAAAUAGCACGUGAAAUUGUUGAAAGGGAAGCGCUUGCAGCCAGACUUGCCUGUAGUUGCUCAUCCGGGCUUUUGCCCGGUGCACUCUUCUGCGGGCAGGCCAGCAUCAGUUUGGGCGGUUGGAUAAAGGCCUCUGUCAUGUACCUCCUUUCGGGGAGGCCUUAUAGGGGAGGCGACAUGCAACCAGCCUGGACUGAGGUCCGCGCAUUUGCUAGGAUGCUGGCGUAAUGGCUGUAAGCGGCCCGUCUUGAAACACGGACCAAGGAGUCUAACAUCUAUGCGAGUGUUUGGGUGUCAAGCCCGAACGCGUAAUGAAAGUGAACGGAGGUGGGAUCCCUUAAGGGUGCACCAUCGACCGAUCCUGAUGUCUUCGGAUGGAUUUGAGUAAGAGCAUGGCUGUUGGGACCCGAAAGAUGGUGAACUAUGCUUGAAUAGGGUGAAGCCAGAGGAAACUCUGGUGGAGGCUCGCAGCGGUUCUGACGUGCAAAUCGAUCGUCAAAUUUGGGCAUAGGGGCGAAAGACUAAUCGA
rnacentral:rRNA from 1 species